ACGAACGCUGGCGGCGUGCUUAACACAUGCAAGUCGAACGGAAAGGCCCUGCUUGCAGGGUACUCGAGUGGCGAACGGGUGAGUAACACGUGGGUGAUCUGCCCUGCACUUCGGGAUAAGCCUGGGAAACUGGGUCUAAUACCGGAUAGGAGCCAUUUUUAGUGUGUUGGUUGGAAAGUUUUUUCGGUGUAGGAUGAGCUCGCGGCCUAUCAGCUUGUUGGUGGGGUAAUGGCCUACCAAGGCGGCGACGGGUAGCCGGCCUGAGAGGGUGGACGGCCACAUUGGGACUGAGAUACGGCCCAGACUCCUACGGGAGGCAGCAGUGGGGAAUAUUGCACAAUGGGCGCAAGCCUGGUGCAGCGACGCCGCGUGGGGGAUGACGGCCUUCGGGUUGGAAACUCCUUUCGCUAGGGACGAAGCUUUUUGUGACGGUACCUAGAUAAGAAGCACCGGCUAACUACGUG
rnacentral:rRNA from 1 species